AGUUGUUCUAGGGUGGAACCCAGACCCCGGCAAUUGCAAUAGCUUCCCAGGUGAUUCCAGUGAACAGGUGGGCGAGAUAACAACCGCAGGCUGGGGAGUUGAUCUGAGAAUGGGCUUACAAAUACAGCCCCUGGUUAUGAUCAGGACAGGUCCUAAGCAUGUGACGUCUAGACGUCUCAAAAGACUUCAAGUUCUGGUUCUUCCAAUCCCAACAUGCAAUGUUCAAGAUUUUGAGUAUGACUUUGCUAUUGAUUUUUCAAAAUGUCUUCUGUCUCAUCUUGGCCCCCGAAGCAGCCAGUUUAGAAGCUUUGGAUCUAGUAAUUGUCAUGAACACAAAGAAUCACAAACAGCCAAGUUAUUUUCCACAUCUAUCCGAUGGAAGAGUAUCCUGAUUGUAAUCAAGACCAGAAGUUUAGUCCAGGCUCCCUUCCAACUGGCUUGGGUUAGGCGGAGAUGGCAGGGCCAGCCUCAUGAGCCUGUGAACUGCGCAGUCGCACAGGACUCUGGUUAGAAGG
rnacentral:lncRNA from 1 species